CUCUCUGGAAGAAUAGAGAGUCUGACCUGCCCACUGAAUUUUAAAGGGCCGCGGUAUUCUUGACCGUGCGAAGGUAGCAUAAUCAUUAGUCUUUUAAUUGAAGGCUCGUAUGAAUGGUUGGACGAGAGAAAAACUGUCUCAAUUAAAAUUUUAAAUUUAACUUUUAAGUGAAAAGGCUUAAAUAACCUAGAAAGACGAUAAGACCCUAUAAAUCUUAACAUUAAUUUACAUUAAUUUUUUAGUUUGUGUGUAUAAAAAAAAUUAUUGUUUAUUUUGUUGUGUUGGGGCGACAAAAAUAUAGAAAAAUUAACUGUUUAAAUUAAAAUACAAUUAUAAUUGUUUAUUAAUUGAUCCUUCUUAGAGAUUAUAAAAAUAAGUUACUUUAGGGAUAACAGCGUUAUUUUCUUUGAGAGUCCAAAUCGAGAAGAAAGUUUGCGACCUCGAUGUUGAAUUAAGAUGUCUUUGUUGUGCAGCAGCUACAAAAGAAAGUCUGUUCGACUUUUAAAUUCUUACAUGAUUU
rnacentral:rRNA from 1 species